GCUACUAUGUAGUAUAAAGGCUCUUCUCGGAGCACGUGACCCCUCUCCGCCCGACCGCCGCCGCGCCGCCAUCAUGGACACGAGCCGUGUGCAGCCCAUCAAACUGGCCAGGGUCACCAAGGUGCUGGGCAGGACCGGCUCGCAGGGACAGUGCACGCAGGUGCGCGUGGAGUUCAUGGACGACACGAGCCGCUCCAUCAUCCGCAACGUGAAAGGUCCUGUGCGUGAGGGCGACGUGCUCACCCUCUUGGAGUCAGAGCGAGAAGCUCGGAGGUUGCGCUGAACUUGUGGCUGGGUCCAGGCUGUCUGGGUCGACCACUUGUCUCACGGGGAUGGAUCUGCGAUUGUUAAUAAAGCGUUUAUGUUGUACGUAAA